rnacentral:tRNA from 1 species
GCGGGUGUGGCUCAAUGGUAGAGCAUCAGCUUCCCAAGCUGAGGGUUGCGAGUUCGAUCCUCGUCACCCGCUCCA